AUUUACAAAAUUAUAAUACAUAUGAGCUCAUAUUGAGGAUUUUAAUCCAACAAUCUCUCACUUGGACUACAUAUGUUUUCUUAUAGUGUGUAACCUUAUAAGCGUUUAAACUUUGCUAUCAUAAAUUAUAAGUAUUUUAAAACAAUCUUGUUCAUUGAUUAUAGUAACAUAGGAUCAAAGCGUCUUUCGUUACAUUUAACAUAACAAACCCAUCAUUGGUCACGUAUAUCAAUACAAUCAAACCACAUAGAUCAAUCAUGGGUGCAUAAUAUAAAAAUUACAUGCACAUGUGAUCUUAGCAUGCCUAUCUCCAACUGGUCUCCUUAAUUGAGAUCAUUUUCUUAUGUUUUCUAACCUUAUACUUAAAUCUCAAUAGAAAGAAUACAUUUAGAGUACUCAAAACUUAAGUCCAUACUUUAUCUGCAGAAUUAAACCAUAAAUAUGUGUCAGCUUGAUAGAACAUUCUAAAUACAAACUCCCACUAAACAUUUGAUAUAUACACAAUCAUCAAAAGCUUCUAUCUCAAAAUCAAAUGAGAAUACUAAAUGAAAAUUGUGUAAUUAUUUACGAGAAACUUACUUGAGUUUAUAAAUAGAUCUUCUUAAUUUGCAAGUCAUACUCUUUGGAUCUUUGAAAUACAAAAUUUUCUAGUUGUACCAUAUAACUUUUGUCAUCAUAUUACAAUUGAUUAAUGACACUUUUAAUAAUCCAUUUGAUAUAGCUUAAAACUAUAAUGAGUCGUCAAUGUCAUGCUUAUCCUUAAAUAGCCUUUUAAUAUAUGCUUUAUGAGUAAUUCUUUACAUACAAGACAUACUUUAUAUUUCUCUACAUCGCAAUUUGCAUCCUCUCGGUUAGAAAUAUUAAUUUAUAACCAAUUGGUUUUACACCUUAUAGCAAUAGAAAAAAUACAAAAUUUUAUUAUCUCACAUCAAUUUGUACUCCUUAUUUAUAAUAUCAAUCUAUUUUUUAGAGUUGAAACCUUCAUGGUAUGAUAAAAGUUGAUUGAAUAUAUCAUCUUCUAUCAAUCUAUUUUUUUCUUAUAUCUUUUCUCUCGCUGAUUUCUUCAAUAGCACUGGUCUUUGAGGUUGUUGAGUUUGAUCAUCUAAACCAUUUACUAUAUAUUGAAUGGAAAGUUGUUUCAUAUUGUCUUAUCAAAGUUCUAGAUUUACUUCUUGAUCAAUGGAAGGGUUAGAAACCUAAACAUUGUCAAAAGUGAAUGUUAGACUUGAGCUUAAUGCAAAAUCCCCCUUAAGAAUAGCUAAAAUAAUCUUAUUUCUCCCCAAACUCAACAUCCUCAAAAUCCUCCUAAAGACAUAUUUGGAACACCUUAACUUUAUUUUUAUACCUCUUGUAAAAGUUAUAGAUAAUUUCAUAUCUACUAUAUUUUUUAUUUUUUGUAGUAAGGUUCCAUAUGCAAUAAACUGAGUUUUAUUUUUAUAUAUCCUUAUCCUUUAUUUUUACAAAAUAGCUAAAGAAGCAUUCUUGUCUCUUUUCUUUACUUAAAAAUUUAUCUCAUUUAGCAACUUUCUAUUAUUCUACAACAACUUAUAUAAAGUAAUUUCUACAUUAUUUUAAACAAGUCAUUAUAGAUAUAUAUAUUUAUAUAGUUCUAUGUAUCUUCUAUAUGAUUUUAAAUUUUGAAUUGAAUUAAAGCUUUUCGAGAAUGAAAAAGAGAAAGAGCAUACCAUAUAAAAUUGGGGUUUUUGAAAUCGAAGUUGAGAUAUUAUAUGCCCUUAAGCCAUUAAAACAAGCUCCUCAGUCCCCACGUCUACCAUGCCUAAUACCCUCAAGCCUGCCUGCCACAAUCGCUUACAAAAUCUGAGAAAAGAAAGAAGUUUUGUCAAGCCCCAUAAACAAGACCAACUUGAUGAGCAUUUGGAUACAGAAAAGGGAAACAAUGGAAAUAAAUUAAUAGUGAUCACUUGGUCACAAAUAACUUGCACCUACAACAGCUUCUUUAUAUAUUAAGUUAGACUUAAUUACAUUGGUUCAAGACUAAUAAGAGACUUAUUAGUAGUCAUCAAUUAAGGACUAAUACACAAUGACUCUCGUAAAAUCCUCUAUAUCUUUCAGUGGUAAUUUAUAAACCUCCUCUAUCAUUUUCAUUAUGCUCUUCCACAAGGUCCAGGUUUGUUAUCAUGCUUCUCACUUAUAAACCUAGUGCAUGUUAUGAGGUCGAGAUUGCAAUUAUAUGUCUCUUGAUUUCGAACUGACCAUAACUUUUCUCUUUUUUUUCAUCUUUCCCUCACCACUAAACUAGCCUUAGUGGCUUGAGAUUGCAAUUAUAUAUGCUACUUCUAAACUCUUUCCUCUUAUUUUAGAGCAUCUCAAAUAAAAUGCAAUAAAAAGUAAUUUUUUGCUA